rnacentral:tRNA from 1 species
GAGGGUAUAGCUCAGUUGUGUAGUGAGUGCUUAGCAUGCACAAAGUUGUGGGUUCAAUCCCCAGUACCUCCA